CGCACGGCCCUCUCUCUCCGUUUGGUAGCUGAAGGGCAAGCCCAAUUCCAAAGGUUUACUGCCUUCCAAUCUCGGCUUUGAUCUUCUUUUCUACAUCCUAUCCGCCGCUGCCGUAGAACUGCUCAUUGCUUUUCUUCCAUCUCUUCCGCUGUUUUGUCAAGAAGCAAUCCAUCAGCUGUUGUUCUAUGCAGAAGAAAAUUUCCUUCAUCUUGCAGGUUACAUCUAUUUAUUGAAGUAAAAAGACCGGUGACAAGAUAGUACAUUAAUUUAUCCAGCGAGGCAAACACAAGUCGACACAAUGGGGAGGGCGAAAAAGGGCCCUAAAUUUGCAGUAAUGAAGAAGAUAGUCACCUCAAAAGCAAUUAAAAAAUACAAAGAAGAGGUUUUGAAUCCAAAUAAAAAAGAUCUCUCCAAGGAAAAGCUCCCUCGAAAUGUGCCACAAGUUUCUUCUGCACUUUACUUCACAUACAACACAGCAUUGGGGCCACCGUACAGGGUUUUGGUGGAUACCAACUUUAUCAAUUUCUCCAUCCAAAAUAAAUUGGAUUUGGAGAAGGCAAUGAUGGAUUGUUUGUAUGCAAAAUGUACACCUUGUAUCACUGAUUGUGUUAUGGCAGAGCUUGAGAAGUUAGGUCAGAAAUACCGUGUAGCUCUGAGGAUUGCUAAGGAUCCACGUUUUGAGAGACUGCCAUGUCUACACAAAGGGACUUAUGCUGAUGACUGUAUUGUUGAUAGGGUUACUCAGCAUAAAUGCUACAUUGUUGCCACAUGUGAUCGUGAUCUGAAGCGAAGGAUACGCAAGAUCCCUGGUGUGCCAAUUAUGUACAUUACUCAACACAAAUAUUCAAUUGAGCGGAUGCCUGAAGCAACAAUAGGUGGAGCUCCAAGAUUUUGACGCAUCUUACAAGAGUGGGAAGAUAUAUGGUUUUGUCAUAAUCUCAUCUGCUGUUUACAUAUUAUGAUAUCUAAGCCCACAACCUGUCUUUUUUAUUUAUUUCCAUCCAUUGUUAGGUGAUGUCCUCUAGAAUUUUUAGUGCCUGUCAUGAGCUGAGGUUGUUUCCUUCUAUCAAAAUUUCUGUUACUAUCUUUUG
rnacentral:misc_RNA from 1 species